GGGCCCUACGGGGGGCAGCAGUGAGGAAUAUUGGUCAAUGGCCGCAGGGCUGAACCAGCCAAGUCGCGUGAGGGAUGACGGCCCUACGGGUUGUAAACCUCUUUUGUCGGGGAGCAAAGAGAGUCACGUGUGGCUCAUUGAGAGUACCCGAAGAAAAAGCAUCGGCUAACUCCGUGCCAGCAGCCGCGGUAAUACGGAGGAUGCGAGCGUUAUCCGGAUUUAUUGGGUUUAAAGGGUGCGCAGGCGGAGGUGCAAGUCAGUGGUCAAAUUGAGGGGCUCAACCCCGUACUGCCGUUGAAGCUGCA
rnacentral:rRNA from 1 species